CAUCGCCGCGGUAAGACGAACCGUGCGAACGUUAUUCGGAAUCACUGGGCUUAAAGCGCGUGUAGGCGGGAGGGCACGUCCGUCGCUGAAAUCCCCCGGCUCAACCGGGGAACGGGCGCGGAUACGACUCUUCUGGAGGAACGUAGGGGGACCUGGAACUUCCGGUGGAGCGGUGAAAUGCGUUGAGAUCGGAAGGAACGCCCGUGGCGAAAGCGAGGUCCUGGACGUUUACUGACGCUGAGACGCGAAAGCCAGGGGAGCGAACGGGAUUAGAGACCCCUGUAGUCCCUGUCUCUUAUAC
rnacentral:rRNA from 1 species